UGGUCCCAGGCUACGGGUGGCGCCCGGUAGCAUCACGAGCACUUGCGGCUCCAGGAGAGGAAACCGGCGGAAAUCCGGUGCGGUCGCGCCACUGUGAGCUCGCCGAACCCGGCGGGCGAGCCAGACCCUCGCCUGCCGCCCGAUCCAGAC
rnacentral:ncRNA from 2 species